GGGUCAGUAGGUUGGUCGUGCCACCGGUACGUACUGGUCUCACUGAUUCCUCCUUCCUGAAGAACCGUAAUGCCAUUAAUUUGGUGUUGCGGGGAAACAGGACUGUUACUUUGAAAAAAUUGAGUGUUUAAAGCAAGCUAACGCUUGAAUACAUUAGCAUGGAAUAAUGAAAUAGGACGAUCGAUCCUAUUUUGUUGGUUUCUAGGAUUGACGUA
rnacentral:rRNA from 1 species